CGGGGACACCUCUGGGGGGAUCUGGUUGGAAGAAAGAAACGUUUGUUGUCACCUGGUGUGAGAAGAACGCGUUUAUUGUCACCUGGGGGGCCGGGGACACCACUAUUGUCACCUGGGGGGUGGGGGCACCUCUGUUGUCACCUGGGGGGGGUGGGGCAGGUGUUUAUUGUCACCUGGGGAGGUGGGGCAGGUGUUUAUUGUCACCUGGGGGUGGUGGGGCAGGUGUUUAUUGUCACCUGGGGAGGUGGGGCAGGUGUUUAUUGUCACCUGGGGAGGUGGGGCAGGUGUUUAUUGUCACCUGGGGAGGUGGGGACAGCCAGGCCACGCGCAGGGUGUGUCCAGCUCUGUCCAGCCACGCCUGGCUGCGUCCAGGGGUGCCCAGGUGUGUCCGGCCAUGCCCAGGUGUGCCCAGGUGGCUCAGGGCAGGAAGCCCAGCUGUGCCCAGCUGUGCCCAGCUGUGCCCAGGUGUGCCCAGGUGCCCCCAGG
rnacentral:lncRNA from 1 species